UCCACGCCGUAAACGUUGUGUGCUUGAUUUGGGUAGUUCAACCCUAUCCGAGUCGUAGCUAACGCGUUAAGCACACCGCCUGGGGACUACGGCCGCAAGGCUAAAACUCAAAGGAAUUGACGGGGACCCGCACAAGCGGUGGAGCAUGUGGCUUAAUUCGAGGCAACGCGAAGAACCUUACCUGGGCUUGACAUAUACCUGACAGCCUGUGAAAGCAGGUUUUCCUUUGGACA
rnacentral:rRNA from 1 species